AAAAAGCAGAAUACAACUGCUAAUUAACUUCCUUAAACCAAUUCAAAAUUACAUAUAAAAAAUAAGUGAAAGUUAAAACUAAAAUGCACCAUCCGCCUUCCUCUUUCAAACUGACAGUGAGAAUGUCUGGUGCUCCAAUUGAACACCCAUCUUGAAACACAUUUCUAAGCAUUUUGUUCUCUAUUGUUACUCCAACUAGGACGAAGUAAUGCAGUACACUCAAAGGAGGGCAAUUUAUCCUUAAUUGUUGCUUAGUGUCAGUCAGAAAGGUAAUGCUGUCUGUCCAUAGCAAGCAGAAAGGAGUUGAGAAGCAAACGCAAAGCUAACCUCUUUCCUGUCUCCAUUAAAUUAUGUGCAGCGUAGAUUCACUUCUUUAUCUGAGUGGUUCUGAAUAUUCAGAAAAGCAGACACAUCCAUAUUUAAAUACAAGUUCUAAAUCUCAUUCUUCAAACAAAGAGGAUAAUGUUUACAAUUUCUUGUUCAUUUUUUCCUCUGUAAGUCUCCAUCAGGGUAAAUAAUCCUGAGUAGAACUAAUAUAUCUUUUUAACUAGGUUGAAGUUGUAAAAUGACUUUAAAUGCAUUUUCAUUUUUUUCCCUUAGAAGAAGGAAAAAGAUGAUGACCUUUUAGUCAAAGAUAUAAAAGUGCAAUGAUCUGAGAGAAAACUAGGAUAGAUUUUUCUCAUUAAUAUUAACAGAAAAGAAAAAAAAAACUAUCAGUAUAAUGACACAUUACACUCUGAACUGGGCUUCCCAAGGGCAUGACUAAUUGUCCUUUGGGGCAAUAAAAAUAAGAGUAGAGAAAAUUCAAAGAGGAGGAAUGUUUUGGAAGUAAAACAAAACAAGACACAACACCAUGCAGAUUUAUCCAAAUUGGUCCUGUGGGAAGGGAGAAUCUGGAAGACACUCUUAAAUAAUUAUCAUUAUUUACUCACCUAAUUCAAUAAGCAACAUUUAAAGAAAAAAAAACAGAUUUUUGUCAUCGACAUGCUUCUAUUCUUAUACAUAUUUACUAGCUUUUAGAAAUAAAGUGUUACUCCAUUUGCUCUCAGGUACUUUAAUUUCUAUCUCGUUUAUCAAUUUAUUCUGUUCUGGUCCAUGACACUUACCUGCCAUUUUACUCCAUGUGGAUCAAUGGUGGAUAUGCACCCUGGGUAAUACUGAAUGGCCCAGGAUAUCUUAGUCUGGAGAAGUGACUUGCAAAUAUUUGUGAAGGUAAAAGGAAAACUGGAGAACCCACCUAUGUAUUGAGUCAGAUUAAACCCAUUUUUAUUGGAUUGCUGCUUAUUAUAGUUUUAGAAAUUGAUUUAGAAGUGCUCUCAGACUAUACAAAGUAAGUCAUGUAAGAGCAUUUACAUAGAAUGUCAUGUAAGAAUAAUUUUAACAUCAAAUUAUAAAGACGCUAUCAACUCAUAAUAAAGUAAAAAAGCCCAGAUCUUCAUUUGUUUUAUGAAGAUCUUCCUGAGUUGUUUCAUUUAGAUUAUAAAAUAGGAAAAUUAAAUUAUCUACCUAAACAUACAGACACAUAAUAGUGUUCCUCUUAAAACCAUGGUUAUUAAAGCCACACACUUCUCACUAGAGGGUUACAGUUUAGCAACUGCACACAAAGUAGGCCUGUAGGUUACUCACAUCCAGGAUGUGACUACAUUCUUUGAGACGAAUCUCCAUGAUGCUCCCCAAUUCCCUGUCCUCAUGGACGUUCAUUCUAGUGGUAGGAGACCAACAAAAGGCCAAUCAAUAAUUAAAAUAUAUAGCACAUCAGGGGAGGAUAAAUGCUAGGAGAAAAAUGAACCAAGGAUAAGGGAUAGUAAUCCUCAUCCCCACUUUCAACACUAAGCAAUUUCCUUCUAUUAUGACUCAGUCCAGAAUGUAAAAGUCUUUCCUAUUUUUGAUAAACUUGACAGCUUUUCCCAGACACUAUGUUUAGAAAUGAAUGUGUAAUACCAUUUACCAAGCACAAAUUCCUUCUUGUAUAACAUCAAAAAGCAUCAAUGUGUGAUAGAUAAAGUAUAUUUUUACAAGUGGUGGGAAGAGAGAUCAUAUUAAUCACUGUGAAGUUCUUUUGCUAGAGUAUUUUGUAGCCACUAGGAAUGCGGGGCUUGGGGGAUGACGUGGUGAAGCAGAGGUCAGCAAAAUGUCUUGCCCACCUGGUUUCUCCUUCUCGGAGAAACAAAAAAUAAAAGGAUAUUGUUUUCUCAUUUAAUAAUCAGCAC
rnacentral:lncRNA from 1 species